GUGCUCCCUUCGGCAGCACAUAUACUAAAAUUGGAACAAUAUAGAGAAGAUUAGCAUGGCCCCUACACAAGGAUGACACACAAAUUCGUGAAGCAUUCUGCAUUUUU
rnacentral:snRNA from 1 species